GUUAACGACCACUUGGUAAUUUGUAUUUCUCUAUGACCGCGUCAGCGUGAGGACAUGUGAACGGGUCCCUUGUUGUUCUCACACAGAUGAGCUGCGUCUUUGUUGGGCCGUCCGGCUCACAGCUUCUCCGGUGAUGAGUUCCUCCGCAUGCAUCCAGCCUCCCUCAGUGGAAGAGGACCCCCACCAACUCCACCUCAUAAUUACCGCUAAUCUGGACAAUGAAGCUCACAUGAUUACCAUAUUAAUGGUCUUGAUGGAGGCAGGAGGGUUCAGGAGGAAGGCGCUGACGCUCCACCUGCUGGCUCCCUGUGGCCGGAGGGAAGUGGUUGUUGAAGACAUAAGGCAGAUUUGUUGUGGUGCUCGUCCUCGCCCCUGAAGGAGAGGAAGAGGCGUCUGACUGCAGAGACACUGGCAUGGUGUCAGGAGACAGGCCUCAUUACCUGGGCGUAACCGGAGAUAGAGAACAAUGCCUCACCAGCCUGACCUGUGACCUUUUGCAGCCUGCCCUGUGACCUGCUGCCCAGGUACCAUCAGAAGAGGGCACGGAGGAUAGAAAACCAUGUGAUCGUUAGUGGAGUGGACUUCCUCUAUCACUAAGCAAGGUGGAGCGUGCUGCGGCCUGCAAGCAGGACCUUGUUUCAUGAGUGGCAACUGUUGUAGGGAUUAUGAGGGAAUACAAUAUCCACCUGGUUGGAUUUGAGUCAAAUCCCCCCCCACACACCAGGACAGAAAUAAACUCCAAUACUGUACUAAAGUACAAUUUUGAUGGUACUUUACUCGACUAUUAUAAUGUUAUUGCUAAAAAUAUAACAUACAUACCAAACAAUUGUGUGUAUAAAUCCAAUAAGUCAAUGUUUAACAAAACAAGUCACAGAAGUCCUUUUUCUGUGCAAUGUUUAUUUUUACACGGUACAUUUUGUGAUAAUACUUCUGAUAAUUAUCACAAUGUGUUUAUGUGAUA
ensembl:lncRNA